UACAGAGGUCUCAAGCGUUGUUCGGAUUCAUUGGGCGUAAAGGGUGCGUAGGUGGCGCUGUAAGUCGGGUGUGAAAUUUCGGAGCUUAACUCCGAAACUGCAUUCGAUACUGCGUGCUUGAGGACUGGAGAGGAGACUGGAAUUCAUGGUGUAGCAGUGAAAUGCGUAGAGAUCAUGAGGAAGACCAGUGGCGAAGGCGGGUCUCUGGACAGUUCCUGACACUGAGGCACGAAGGCCAGGGGAGCAAACAGG
rnacentral:rRNA from 1 species